GAGAAAGCAAUGUCGUUAAAUUGCCUUGUGAACGAACACUAAGGGAUUACACAAACACUGUUCACCCAAGUACUGGCUUUCACAAGGCUGUGUUUGACGAUUUGAAGCAUCAAGUAGAAAAGCUAAAUGACAUCCAAAAAUAUGUUGUUCUUAUGCUGGAUGAGGUAUCAAUAAAAGAUGAUCUUGUAUACGACAAAGUAACUGGGGAGUUAGUUGGCUUUGUAAACAUCGGCAAUGAUGUCGAUGAUUGCCACGUAAUUCGAAAUAAAGAAGAGAGCAUCAAAACAGCAAAUGUUGCUACCCAUGCUCUUGUUUUCAUGGUGACAAGUAUUGCAUCUCGUUUGAAAUUUAGUUUGGGUUACUUUGCAACAACAAC